rnacentral:rRNA from 1 species
GACGUAGGGCGCGAGCGUUGUCCGGAUUUAUUGGGUUUAAAGGGUGCGUAGGCGGUUAUAUAAGUCAGUGCUGAAAUAUCCCGGCUUAACCGGGAGGGUGGCAUUGAUACUGUAUGACUUGAGUAAAGUUGAGGUUGGCGGAAUUGACGGUGUAGCGGUGAAAUGCUUAGAUAUCGUCAAGAACACCGAUUGCGAAGGCAGCUAACUAAGCUUUAACUGACGCUGAGGCACGAAAGUGUGGGGAUCAAACAGG